CAGGUCACGUCUCUGCAGUUACAC
rnacentral:ncRNA from 2 species